UGGGGAAUAUUGGGCAAUGGGGGAAACCCUGACCCAGCAACGCCGCGUGAAGGAAGAAGGCCUUCGGGUUGUAAACUUCUUUUACCAGGGACGAAGGACGUGACGGUACCUGGAGAAAAAGCCACGGCUAACUACGUGCCAGCAGCCGCGGUAAUACGUAGGUGGCAAGCGUUGUCCGGAUUUACUGGGUGUAAAGGGCGUGUAGGCGGAGCUGCAAGUCAGAUGUGAAAUCUCCGGGCUUAACCCGGAAACUGCAUUUGAAACUGUAGCCCUUGAGUAUCGGAGAGGCAAGCGGAAUUCCUAGUGUAGCGGUGAAAUGCGUAGAUAUUAGGAGGAACACCAGUGGCGAAGGCGGCUUGCUGGACGACAACUGACGCUGAGGCGCGAAAGCGUGGGGAGCAAACA
rnacentral:rRNA from 1 species